GUUUGCUUUUAAAACCAAAAGGAAGCAUUUUUAGCUUACUUUUCAGUAUGUUUAUUUUUGCACUAUAGUGAUAAAAGGGGUUAUUUACUCCCACAAAGCUAUACAACGCCAUCACAUGCAGACCUGUCAAAUUAAAUCUAUUCUCACUUUAUUUUAGAGUACUCUUAAAUUUCAUAUAUUUUUUCUCUUUUUUUUUGUCUUUUUGUUUGUUUGUCUAUUACUCUUUUCAUUAUAUUUUAGAACCACAUUUUUCCGUAUUCCUUAUUUUGUGGUCCAUUUUUUCUUUAAAGCGUGGUCGCAUAUUUUUCUAUAACCUUUGUCCAUUUUCAGGAUAUUUUUAACCUCAAUACAGAUCCUCCGAAACAGAGCAGUUAAUUAAAAUUAACUCAUCAUAAAUACCAGGAUGAAAAUUAUGUUUGCACCAAACGCGCGUUUUUUCUACAAGAGACUCAUCAGUGGCGCAUUAAAAUUGUUAUAAAGCAUACGGAGUUUGCAAACGGUUUUGCUUAGCAAAAAUAACCUAAUUGAGA
rnacentral:lncRNA from 1 species